rnacentral:tRNA from 1 species
UCCCUGGUGGUCCAGUGGUUAGGACUUGACACUUUCACUGCUGUGGCCUAGGUUCAGUCCCUAAUCAGGGAA